AGGGUUCGAUUCUGGCUCAGGAUGAACGCUAGCUACAGGCUUAACACAUGCAAGUCGAGGGGCAGCAUGAUCUUAGCUUGCUAAGAUUGAUGGCGACCGGCGCACGGGUGAGUAACGCGUAUCCAACCUUCCCUAUAGUAGGGAUAGCCCGUAGAAAUGCGGAUUAAUACCCUAUGUUGUAUUUUGAGGACAUCUGACGAAUACCAAAGGUUCACCGCUAUAGGAUGGGGAUGCGUCUGAUUAGGUUGUUGGCGGGGUAACGGCCCACCAAGCCUACGAUCAGUAGGGGUUCUGAGAGGAAGGUCCCCCACAUUGGAACUGAGACACGGUCCAAACUCCUACGGGAGGCAGCAGUGAGGAAUAUUGGUCAAUGGGCGAGAGCCUGAACCAGCCAAGUAGCGUGCAGGAUGACGGCCCUAUGGGUUGUAAACUGCUUUUAUGCGGGGAUAAAGUGAGGGACGUGUCCCUUAUUGUAGGUACCGCAUGAAUAAGGACCGGCUAAUUCCGUGCCAGCCGCAGC
rnacentral:rRNA from 1 species